rnacentral:rRNA from 1 species
AACUAACGCUGGCGGCGUGCCUAAUACAUGCAAGUCGAACGCGAAAGUCCUUCGGGAUGAGUAGAGUGGCGCACGGGUGAGUAACACGUAGGUAAUCUGCCUUGAGGUGUGGAAUAACCUGUCGAAAGACGGGCUAAUACCGCAUAAGACCACAGCUACUCUGGUAGCAGGGGUUAAAGGUGACCUCUAUUUAUAAGUUUUCGCCUCAAGAUGAGCCUGCGCAGUAUUAGCUAGUUGGUGGGGUAAUGGCCCACCAAGGCAACGAUACUUAGCUGGUCUGAGAGGAUGAUCAGCCACACUGGAACUGAGACACGGUCCAGACUCCUACGGGAGGCAGCAGUAGGGAAUAUUGCUCAAUGGGGGAAACCCUGAAGCAGCAACGCCGCGUGAGUGAUGAAGGCCUUCGGGUUGUAAAGCUCUGUUGUACGGGGCGAAUCCGGUUGGGGGUAAUAUUCCCAACCGCUGACAGUACCGUAUAAGAAAGGACCGGCUAAC